rnacentral:sRNA from 1 species
AAUGUAGGUAGGAAAAAGGAAGUCCCGAGUGAACAGGACUUCCCAUGUAGAGCCGUUAAAGACGGUGGCAGAUUUUAACGACAUUUAAU